UUUUGAUACCAGAUCUCAUAUGUAUAUGCAUAGAGGAGGCAGCAAAGUGUUUAGUUGUCGCUUGAGUAAUAAAUAAUACUUGAAUUUAGACAUUUGUUUUAAAAAAUAGCAUUUGCAGACUAGCUCCAUCUUACUGCUUUCUCUUCUGGCUAAUGCUGAUAAGAGUUGCAGUUCACCAUCUGCAGAAUACAUGCUCUUUUGUAAUACAAAGAAAACAAGCACUAUAUAUUGUAGUCACAGAAUUAUCAAACCUGCCUCAUUGGCUGGGAUGGGUGGAAAACUGGCUGAAGGUGAAGAAACAUAAAACAAAAUCCAGAAAGGAAAGUAGUAGUAUUGUCUAAUGUUUGCCUAUAUUUAUUUAUUUAUCAAUUAGUCUUCAGAGCAUUCUUUGAUCCAAUGUUGGUUUUGAAUGCUUUGGUCAAUGAGAACUCAGAACUUUUUGGCUGUUUUGAAUAGCACUCUAGUUGGAUUUUUUUAAGCUGUCACAGUACUGUUUUUGUAUCUGUAGCUGGCUGGGAAUAUAGUUGUGAAUUGGGAGAUUUGUAUGAAAUUAAAUAAAGUGAAAUUGAAUUGCGGCAUUUGGGAUUUUGCUGAUGUGCAGACAUUCUUCGGUAAGUCCUUUUUCUCAGCAGUGCUAGUUCACCUUAUGAAACUGCAUUAACUAGUAAUACAGUAGUCUCGCAUAUCCAAUCUUCGCUUAUCCAACAUUGUGUAUUAUCCAACGUAGUUUGCCUCCCACUCUGAUCCACAGCUGUUUCUCUAGGCAGCAAGCGCAACAGGCCAACACACCUGUUAUGAUUGAGCCUCAUGGCUCUGUUACUGACAGACGUGGGCGUAAGACUCCUCGAGAGUCGGAUACUCUCGAGGAGCGAGAGAGAAAAAGACUGCGAGACAUAUUUGCAGCACCAUCUGACGAAGAGUCUUUCGAAGGGUUUACGGAGAGAAUGGAGGAAGGGCUGGUUAGCUCAGAGGAGGACGAGAUGGGAGACUGCUGGAGACUGGGGUGGUUAACCAUGAAACCUCAGCAGUAACGUGGGAGGUGCAGGGAGUAACGGGAACGUUUGUGUGGGAUAUUACGAGCUUGCCUA
rnacentral:lncRNA from 1 species